AAUACCAAACAGACUGUUUAAAAACCUAAACUCCAAGCCAAUAUCCCUGAUGAACAUAGAUUCAGAAAUCUUCAACAAAAUAUAGCAAACCACAUUCAACAAUAUAUUCAA